GCUACGCCUUGGCCUCGUGCAGACCGUAGUAGUUUCUUCAGUGAAAAUGGCCAAAGAAGCUCUGAAAACCCAUGAUGUUGAAUUUAGCGGCAGGCCGGCGUUGGUUGGCCAGCAAAAAUUAACCUACAAUGGGUUAGAUGUUGCCUUUGCCCCGUACAACGACUAUUGGAAAGAGAUGAGGAAAAUAUGUGUCACUCAUCUUUUUAAUGCCAGUAGAGUCCACCAUUUUCGUCCCGUGAGAGAAGAUGAGGUGACACGUAUGAUCGAGAAAAUUUCAUCAUUAUCAUCAUCACCAGCAACGGCGGUGAUUAAUCUAAGUGAGUGUUUAAUGUCACUUACAAAUUCGGUCAUAUGUAUGGUUGCGUUUGGGAAGAAGUUUGAGAACAAAGCUGGCGAAAGAAGCAAGUUCCACUCGUUACUUGACGAGACUAGGGUUGUGUUGGGAGCCUUCUAUUUCAAAGAUUUUUUUCCUUUCUUGGGUGGUUUUUUUGAUAAGCUCUCGGGAAUCACUCGUCGUCUCGAAAACAACUUCAAAGAAUUUGAUGCAUUUUACCAACAACUCAUCGAGGAGCAUGCAGUUUUUUUUUUUUUUUUGGAUCAUAACUACAAUUUUUUUUUUUCAUUGCAGUGAGUUUUAAACCACCUCACUUUAAUAGCAAACAGAACCUAAAGUGGGUGUUCAAAAUCGUAAACAACUGGUUUUCAAUUUUCUUGUUAUAUAGAGUAUUAGUGUAUUACUAUAUUGAAUUUUAAUUUAACACUAAAAAUGGUGAAGCCCUAAGAUAUUAUUUGAGAAUUCAGAAGGGAUAAAAAGAUAUUUUGAUUAAUAUUUUUUAUAAAAAAAAUAGUGGUUUGUGUUGACGAACCCCACAAAUUAAAUUUAAACUUAAAUUUAAAUAAUGGUGAAUACUACGAUUUAUUAUCUAUAAAGGUUGUUUGUUAAUUAGUUACCCCAUUGCAAUCAAUAUACCACAAAUUGAACAUGGCUUUGCUCAUCAUAUUCCUUGUGUCACUGCCAGUACUCAGUUACUUUCUUUAUCUCCAAAGGAAACGCAUAAACAAAGCCAAAACGACAAGUGGUUUAUUACCACCAGGGCCUCGAGGUCUUCCCUUAAUCGGAAACCUACACCAGCUUCAAAGCACAAACCUUCAUUACCAGCUCUGAAAUCUCUCCAAAAAAUAUGGCCCACUGAUGUCGCUACGCCUUGGCCUCGUGCAGACCGUAGUAGUUUCUUCAGUGAAAAUGGCCAAAGAAGCUCUGAAAACCCAUGAUGUUGAAUUUAGCGGCAGGCCGGCGUUGGUUGGCCAGCAAAAAUUAACCUACAAUGGGUUAGAUGUUGCCUUUGCCCCGUACAACGACUAUUGGAAAGAGAUGAGGAAAAUAUGUGUCACUCAUCUUUUUAAUGCCAGUAGAGUCCACCAUUUUCGUCCCGUGAGAGAAGAUGAGGUGACACGUAUGAUCGAGAAAAUUUCAUCAUUAUCAUCAUCACCAGCAACGGCGGUGAUUAAUCUAAGUGAGUGUUUAAUGUCACUUACAAAUUCGGUCAUAUGUAUGGUUGCGUUUGGGAAGAAGUUUGAGAACAAA
rnacentral:lncRNA from 1 species